GACGAACGCUGGCGGCGUGCUUAACACAUGCAAGUCGAGCGAUGAAGCUUCUUCGGAAGUGGAUUAGCGGCGGACGGGUGAGUAACACGUGGGCAACCUGCCUGUAAGCUUGGGAUAACUCCGGGAAACCGGUGCUAAUACUGACUACAACAAAGGAACGCAUGGCACCUUGUGAACAGACCUUGUGUCACUUACAGAUGGGCCCGCGGCGCAUGAGCUUGUUGGUGGGGUAACGGCCUACCACGGCGACGAUGCGUAGCCGACCGGAGAGGGUGAUCGGCCACACUAGGACUGAGACACGGCCCAGACUCCUACGGGAGGCAGCAGUAGGUAAUCUUCCGCAAUGGACGAAAGUCUGACGGAGCAACGCCGCGUGAGCGAUGAAGGUUCUCGGAUCGUAAAGCUCUGUUGUCAGGGAAGAACCGCCGGGAUAACCUCCCGGUCUGACGGUACCUGGCGAGAAAGCCCCGGCUAACUACGUGCCAGCCGCCGCGGUAAUAC
rnacentral:rRNA from 1 species